CAGUAGCCGCGGGAAUACGGAGGGUGCAAGCGUUAUCCGGAUUUAUUGGGUUUAAAGGGUCCGUAGGCGGACUUAUAAGUCAGUGGUGAAAGCCUGUCGCUUAACGAUAGAACUGCCAUUGAUACUGUAAGUCUUGAGUAUAUUUGAGGUAGCUGGAAUAAGUAGUGUAGCGGUGAAAUGCAUAGAUAUUACUUAGAACACCAAUUGCGAAGGCAGGUUACCAAGAUAUAACUGACGCUGAGGGACGAAAGCGUGGGUAGCGAACAGGAUUAGAUACCCCGGUAGUCCCUGUCUCUUAUAA
rnacentral:rRNA from 1 species